rnacentral:rRNA from 1 species
GAUGAACGCUGGCGGCGUGCUUAACACAUGCAAGUCGAACGAUGAGGCCCAGCUUGCUGGGUGGAUUAGUGGCGAACGGGUGAGUAACACGUGAGUAACCUGCCCUUAACUCUGGGGUAAGCCUGGGAAACUGGGUCUAAUACCGGAUAGGAGCGCCUACCGCAUGGUGGGUGUUGGAAAGAUUUAUCGGUUUUGGAUGGACUCGCGGCCUAUCAGCUUGUUGGUGAGGUAAUGGCUCACCAAGGCGACGACGGGUAGCCGGCCUGAGAGGGUGACCGGCCACACUGGGACUGAGACACGGCCCAGACUCCUACGGGAGGCAGCAGUGGGGAAUAUUGCACAAUGGGCGAAAGCCUGAUGCAGCGACGCCGCGUGAGGGAUGACGGCCUUCGGGUUGUAAACCUCCUUCAGUAGGGAAGAAGCGAAAGUGAGGUACCUGCAGAAGAAGCACCGGCUAACUACGUG